CGUGUAGGCGGGAAUACAAGUCAGAUGUGAAAUACUGUGGCUCAACCACAGAACGGCAUCUGAAACUGUAUUUCUUGAGUACUGGAGAGGAAAGCGGAAUUCCUAGUGUAGCGGUGAAAUGCGUAGAUAUUAGGAGGAACACCGGUGGCGAAGGCGGCUUUCUGGACAGUAACUGACGCUGAGACGCGAAAGCGCGGGGAGCAAACAGGAUUAGAUACCCUGGUAGUCC
rnacentral:rRNA from 1 species